rnacentral:rRNA from 1 species
GAUGAACGCUGGCGGCGUGCCUAAUACAUGCAAGUAGAACGCUGAAGGAGGAGCUUGCUCUUCUGGAUGAGUUGCGAACGGGUGAGUAACGCGUAGGUAACCUGCCCGGUAGCGGGGGAUAACUAUUGGAAACGAUAGCUAAUACCGCAUGACAACAGUUAUUGCAUGAUAACUGUUUAAAAGGGGCAACUGCUCCACUACCAGAUGGACCUGCGUUGUAUUAGCUAGUUGGUGAGGUAACGGCUCACCAAGGCGACGGUACAUAGCCGACCUGAGAGGGUGGACGGCCACACUGGGACUGGGACACGGCCCAAGAUCCUACGGGGAGCAGCAGGAGGGGAACAUCGGCAAUGGGCGGAAGUCUGACCGAGCAACGCCGCGUGAGUGGAGGAAGGUUUCGGGUCGUAAAGCUCGGUUGUAAGAGAAAGACGAGUGUGAGAGUGGAAAGUUCACGCUGUGACGGUAUCUUACCAGAAAGGGACGGCUAACUACGUG